rnacentral:rRNA from 1 species
AAGCAGGGGAUCGCAAGACCUUGCGCUCUUUGAGCGGCCGAUGCCUGAUUAGCUAGUUGGUGGGGUAAGGGCCUACCAAGGCGACGAUCAGUAGUUGGUCUGAGAGGACGACCAGCCACACUGGGACUGAGACACGGCCCAGACUCCUACGGGAGGCAGCAGUGGGGAAUUUUGGACAAUGGGCGAAAGCCUGAUCCAGCAAUGCCGCGUGAGUGAAGAAGGCCUUCGGGUUGUAAAGCUCUUUCAGUCGAGAAGAAAAGGUCGCGACUAAUAAUCGCGACUCAUGACGGUAUCGACAGAAGAAGCACCGGCUAACUACGUGCCAGCAGCCGCGGUAAUACGUAGGGUGCGAGCGUUAAUCGGAAUUACUGGGCGUAAAGGGUGCGCAGGCGGCUUUGUAAGUCAGAUGUGAAAUCCCCGGGCUUAACCUGGGAAUUGCGUUUGAAACUACAAAGCUAGAGU